rnacentral:rRNA from 1 species
CNANNUHNDAGNUGAGUAACACGUAGGCAAUCUACCUUUUGCUGGGGUAUAGCCAGAAGAAAUUCUGAUUAAUUCCCCAUAAUAUAAAGGUUCUGCAUGGACCCUUUAUUAAAGCUGAUGUGGCAAGAGAUGAGCCUGCGCCUGAUAGCUAGUUGGUGAGGUAACGGCUCGACCAAGGCGAUGAUCAGUAGGGGACCUUAGAGGGCGAACCUCCACACUGGAACUGAGACACGGUCCAGACUUCUACGGAAGGCAGCAGUGAGGAAUAUUGGUCAAUGGAGGAAACUCUGAACCAGCUACGCCGCGUGCAGGAUGAAAGUCUUUUAGGUUGUAAACUGCUUUUGUAUAGAAAUAAAAUUUACUACGAGUUAGUAAACUGAAGGUACCAUACGAAUAAGUGUCGGCUAAUUCCGUGCCAGCAGCCGCGGUAAUACGGGAGACACGAGCGUUAUCCGGAUUUAUUGGGUUUAAAGGGUGUGUAGGCGGUUUAUUAAGUCAGUAGUGAAAGCUUACAGCUUAACUGUAAAAUUGCUAUUGAUACUGGCAAACUUGAGUAAGAUUGGAGUAUCUGGAAUGUAUGGUGUAGCGGUGAAAUGCAUAGAUAUCAUACAGAACACCAAUAGCGAAGGCAGGAUACUAAAUCUUUAUUGACGCUGAGGCACGAAAGCGUGGGGAGCAAACAGGAUUAGAUACCCUGGUAGUCCACGCCCUAAACGAUGAUCACUAGCUAUUGGAAAAACUAUAUUCAGUGGCUAAGCGAAAGUGAAAGUGAUCCACCUGGGGAAUAUAAUCGCAAGAUUGAAACUCAAAGGAAUUGACGGGGUUCCGCACAAGCGGUGGAGCAUGUGGUUUAAUUCGAUGAUACGCGAGGAACCUUACCAAGGCUUAAAUGUAUUACGAAUAAGCUGGAAACAGUUUAGUCUAUACUGACGGAAUACAAGGUGCUGCAUGGUUGUCUUCAGUUCGUGCUGUGAAGUGUUUGGUUAAGUCCUAUAACGAGCGCAACCCCUAUUGUUAGUUGCCAUCGGGUAAUGCUGGGAACUCUAACAAAACUGCCGGUGUAAAUCGUGAGGAAGGUGGGGAUAAUGUCAAAUCAUCAUGGCCUUUAUGCCUUGGGCUACACACGUGCUACAAUGGCUGGCACAAUGGGCAGCCACUGGGUGACCAGGAGCUAAUCUCUAAAGCCAGUCUAAGUUCGGAUUGGAGUCUGCAAUUCGACUCUAUGAAGAUGGAAUCGCUAGUAAUCGCGCA